GGGAGAAGGAGGUCCUGCUGGUCCCGCUGGUCCUGCUGGUGCCCGUGGUAUCCCUGGUGAACGUGGUGAGCCUGGUCCUGUAGGUCCCAGUGGAUUUGCUGGACCUCCUGGUGCAGCUGGUCAGCCUGGUGCUAAAGGAGAGCGUGGGCCCAAGGGACCUAAGGGUGAAACUGGCCCAACAGGUGCCAUUGGCCCAAUCGGUGCUUCUGGACCACCAGUAAGUGAAUUGUGUCCUUGUGAAAUGCAUAGUUCUCAACUGUGCCAUGCAAGCAAUACAUUAGCCUGAAAGCCUUGAAUUCUGAACAGGUAAUGAAAGAAAGAAACAAAACUUCAGGCUAGCCUGUGAGAAAAGUUACCAUGCUGAUUUUCACACAUUAUGUAAAUUUUAUCAAUCUAUUUAUGUGGGCUCAGAUCGUGAGUCUGGAACUGAAAUGAAGAGAAAACAAUAACUAAUUUUCAACUUGCUCUGAAGAUCAGCAAAAUCACUCUAUCUUGGACCAUUCAGGGGGUGAUUGUGGGUAAGUUCUGAGCUGAGGACGUUGACACUUUUCUCUCAAAGAUGGGAUGUGCUGUCACAGUC